UACGUAGGGGGGCUAGCGUUGUCCGGAUUUAUUGGGCGUAAAGAGCGUGUAGGCGCCAGGUAGGUCUGCUGUGAAAACUCGAGGCUCAACCUCGAGAUGUCGGCGGAAACCAUCUGGCUAGAGUCCGGAAGAGGAGAGUGGAAUUCCUGGUGUAGCGGUGAAAUGCGCAGAUAUCAGGAAGAACACCCGUGGCGAAGGCGGCUCUCUGGGACGGUACUGACGCUGAGACGUGAAAGCGUGGGGAGCGAACAGG
rnacentral:rRNA from 1 species